AGGGUUCUUAGGUGAUAAAAAUUUGGUCAGCAAGCACUUAACUGGACAGUUUUGGCGUCUAAAACUAUUUUCUAUUCCUGCUUUCCGGUUUCACUAAACAAUCCUGGUAUUUUCAUGAUAUAAGGAGACCCUACUCUCCAGACCUAAGUGUACACACACUGAUGGGGUGGUCAUGCGCUAGUUGUUAAAAUGAUUCAGGGCAAAGCCCAUUUUGUAGCACUGUGGGACUGAGAUAAAAUGCAAACCUGUUCUCACUUUGUGGGGAGAAGCUUGGGCUGGCGUUUUAGGCAGGCAAGUUCCAGAUGUCGGGAAUCACUCUAUUGUGUCAGUAACUGUUACAAGCUUCUUGUCCUGGGGUGAAAAUAGCUUACUGCUGAGAAGCAAGAGGUGAUUGUCCUUGAUACACCAGCUGCCAGAGGCCCAGCUUGCUGGGGUCAGGUACACACUAACCCUUCAGUGCAACUCCCAUGGCUGGACAACUUUGCAGGUGCUGGUGUUCUUCACCCACAAAUCAAUGAACCUGCCCAGGAUGGGUUUCACUUAAGUGUCUCAUCAAAAACUGCAUCCAAGAAUAAAGGCCCCUUGCAACAUCCAAAACACCUUCGAGUAACCCACGACCGCUCCAACUAUUGAACAUGAGCCCCACCCUGUUUAGCUUUCCUCUCUUGAAUCCUUAAAUGGUGAAAACACCCACAUGAGUGCGGAGAUAAACUCCUGCUUUGAUAAUUCACUGUCAGAAGUAUUGAGCAGACUUUAGUGGGAGGGAAGCAGGAAUGGUCUUCUCAAAUGCUGCAGUACAAAAGCUCACGAUUUUUUUUUUUAAGUUCACAGGGUACAAGUGCAGGUUUGUUGCAUGGGUAUAUUGCAUGAUGCUGACAUUUGUGGUACAAAUGAUUCCAUCACCUGGGUAGUGAGCAUUGUACCCAAUAGGUAGUUUUUCAACCCUCAUUUUCCUCUUGCCUUCCUCCCUCAAGCAGUCCCCAAUGUCUAUUGUUUCUCCAUCUUUAGGUACAUGUGGACUUACGAGAUAACUUGUAGUAUUUGGUUUUCUGUUCCUGUGUUAAUUUGCUAAGAAUAAUGGCCUCUAGCCCCAUAGAUGUUGCUGCAAAUGACUUGAUUUUGUUCUUUGAUUAUUACGUCAUGUGUAUGUACCACAUUUUCUUUAUCCAGUCCACCACUGAUGAACAUCUAGACUGAUUCCAC
rnacentral:lncRNA from 1 species